rnacentral:lncRNA from 1 species
CUCCUCGAGACCGGAGGGGGGGUCGUGGGGGAGGGGGCGUCCGAGAGGGGGGCACGUGGGAAAGGAGGUGGAAGCGGCAGAUCCAGAGGGUGCGACGAGAAGUGGAGGACGAGCCGGGGGAGGGGAGACCGUGGGUGGGUGAGGGAAUGAACACCUGCUGAGGGUGAUGAUCCCCGGGAUCGGGGAUCAAGGCAACCCAAAAUAAGCUGUCACGCCGCGGGCUGUUGGGAAGGCAGGAGAAGGGGUCCCUAUGGAGGGAGAGAAAUGCUACAUCCAUUCAGAGCAGCGUGGGAAAGGCGGGCCAAGGGCGACUUCGGCUUAUAGCCGGCGGUGGAAUGGAGAUUUGGGCAGACAGAGAAGAACGUAGCAGGACUGGUGGGGCACAUCGCCUCGCACCAGGGACCCCCGCAGGGACCCCUCACCCCGACCCCGUGCCUGGGCCAGGUGGGGCUGGGUUGCUCAGCUGUGUUCCCAGGCUCUGAUGUUCCCAAGACUCUCCUGAGACAAGGGCAGACUUCCUUCCCCAGCAGGGUACUGACGGUGCCACACAGACGCCCGGACCUGGGCCGCCGACCUUUGAAUGGGCACCGAAAUGAAAACAGGGAAUUCACAGGAGAAGCCCAGAGGCAACAUCAUGGACUUGGCUUCCAUUGGAGCUGGGUCUCCAGGAUGCACAGAUGUUUGCCGGCAUUCCAGACAGAAGGAGGAACACGUGAGAAUGCUCAGACUCUGGGGAACAGAUGAUGUUGCAAGGGAGCUUGCGUGGAAGGAGUGGGAGUGCAGCCAAACAUCCAAUUUGAAGUGGUCUCUGUGCCAGGUCCUGAAGCAAUGGGUGGGAGCACAGGUUUCUAAGUAGACUGAUUGUAGGAAGGGAACUGGAGACCCCACAGAAGUGGGACCAGAGGAUGGAGAGUGUGCAAGUGGGAGGCCAAUGGGCAGGCCCAAGACAUUAAAGGCAAGAAAUGCAACGACACUGACACUGACAAAGAGGAGAGGUUAGCAUUCUAGAGUCCUGUCUGAACUAUAUUUGUCAGAUCUGGUGAGGCAGUGGCUUUAGGGAGAAGGUAGGGAGCGCAGAUGGAGGAUUUGAAGGAAAUAUUUUGUUAGCUUGUUUGGAAGCUGAGUAGUUCGAGACAUCAACCAAGUGGAAAAGGAAGUCAUUGUAGGCAGGAAGGAGAUAAUGAGUUCAAAUUUGAAUCUUAUUAAGAGUGAAUGCAAAAGGGAACAAAGUGUAUCCAUGCUUAGAUAUGGAUGAUCCCUGAAAACAUGAUGCCAAGUGAAAGAAGCCAGCUAUGAAAGGACACAUAUCAUAUGAUUCGAUUUACCUGAAACCGCCAGAAUGGGCAGGUCUGUAGAGACAGGCAGUAGAGGAGGGGGUGGAGGAGGGGGCUGGGGAUUGGGGCGUGACUACUAAUGGGCACAAGCUUGCUUUAGGGGUAACCGAAAUGUUUACAAAUGUAUUGCAGCGAUAGUUGCACAAAUCUAUGAAUAUACUUAAAAAACAUUGUUUUCUAUACUUUAAAAUGGGUGGAUUGUAUGGCAUGCGAAUUAUAUCUCAACAAGGGCUGUUGUGUAUUUUAAAAAGAGUGAUAAUGGGUAGAGUUUCAGUCUGGGAAGAUGAAAAAGUUCUAGAGAUGAAUGGAAUAAUGUGAAUAUAUUUAAUGCCGCUGGACUAUACACUUAAAAAUGGGGGCGCCUCGGUGGCUCAGCGGUUGAGCACCGCCUUCAGCCCGGGGCCUGAUCCCGGAGACCCAGGAUCGAGUCCCACCUCAGGCUCCCUGCAUGGAGCCUGCUUCUCCUUCUGCCUGUGUCUCUGCCUCUCUCUCUCUCUGUCAUUCAUGAAUAGAUAAAUAAAAUCUUUAAAAAAAUUUUUUUAAAUGAUCA